UGCACUAGGAAGGCCAGGCCAUCUCUGGGCUGAGCUUAUUUCUCCUGAGGGUCUGUAGUGGUCGCAAGGGCUUUGUUGUUGUUUAAAAUAGUUAAAAUGACUGGGUUUUUUUCUUUUUUAUGCUGAAUUCUUGAGAAUAUUGGCUGGCAUCUGUGGCAAAGGUUUUCAAUAGUACUUUCUUUCCUUUUCAGGUCACAGUAUUCCAAGCAAUCAAACACCCUGUCCAGCGUGGAUACAGACUCACGCACAGACAGCUUUGGGGCACUGAUUUUGUAUGCCAGACGGGAGCAUGACGCCUCAGAUGGCUCAUCAAUUUCAGGAACUCUUCCAAAGCAUGAACCAGCAAAUUGAGAGCCAUCCCCACUGCUAUCCCCCCGCAGUAUGAACCCUCCCCGAGGGACCUUCUCUUCUUCCUCCAGGUGCUUUACCUGAACUAAAUGGUAAACAUCACUCUUAUCAUCUUGUUUUGGGGAGCCUCUGCCUCUACCACCACCUUUGUUCAGAGACCCCCUUUUUAGGCUCAUCACCUGCUCUGUCAUAUAGAAGGAAGUAAAGAUACAUUAAUACAUUAAUCAACAUUAAGUGUUUAUGAUGAAUGUGAUCAUUAUGUAUAUGUGAAAGAUACCAAU
rnacentral:lncRNA from 1 species